rnacentral:rRNA from 1 species
UAAGACCCACUAAAAUUAAGUAGUAAAGGUUAACCCGAAACUUAAAGAAUUUGGCGGUGUUCUAAACUAACUAGAGGAAUCUGCUUUCACAUCGACAACUCACGCAAGAUCUCUCCUAAAUUCAGCUUGUAUACCGUCGUAAAAAUAGUGUCUAUAGACUAUUAUUAAAGAAGAUUUUAUCACACACGACAGAUCCAGGUUCAGUUUAUAUUUAGAGAAAAAGUGGAUUACAAUAUAACUAUAUACUACGAACGAGGCUUUGAAAUUAACCAAAAGAAGGAGGAUUUAGAAGUAAAAAGGAAUUAGUAUGUCUUUUCGAAUCAGCCCUAGAACAUGC